GACGGACGGUACCGGAUGAAUAAGCACCGGCUAACUACGUGCCAGCAGCCGNNNUAAUACGUAGGGUGCGAGCGUUAAUCGGAAUUACUGGGCGUAAAGGGUGCGCAGGUGGUUAUUUAAGACAGAUGUGAAAUCCCCGGGCUCAACCUGGGAACUGCGUUUGUGACUGGAUAGCUAGAGUGCGGCAGAGGGGGGUGGAAUUCCACGUGUAGCAGUGAAAUGCGUAGAGAUGUGGAGGANNNCCGAUGGCGAAGGCAGCCCCCUGGGCUAACACUGACGCUCAGGCACNNNAGCGUGGGGAGCAAACAGGAUUAGAUACCCUGGUAGUCCACGCCCUAAACGAUGUCNNNUGGGUGUUGGGGGAGCGAUUCCUCAGUACCGUAGCUAACGCGUGAAGUUGACCGCCUGGGGAGUACGGCCGCAAGGUUA
rnacentral:rRNA from 1 species